AGAGACGAAGACUCGUACAGUUAUUACUCAUUUGGUCUUUCUUUCUUUCUUUCUUUCUUUCGUUUAUUAACAAUGUAACUUCAUUUCUUCUUUCCUUUCUUCCUUCAUCAACCCAUUCCCUCUCUCUCUCUCUCUAAAACUCAUCCCCUCCCUCUGCUCCCUUUCCGGUCACCUUCCUCGCCGUGAUUUCUCGUCGGAGUCCGGUAGAUCUUUCCCAUUUCGGACUGGUCCUCGCUGCCGUGCAGAAGGAUAAGAAAUCACCAUGGCUGAUAACGAAGCUGCAGUUCCAAAAUUUGGUGAAUGGGAUGACAGGGAUGCAAAAGCACCGGAGAACUACACGGCUAUUUUCAACAAGGUGCGGGAAGAGAGACAAGAUCAAGCAGUGAGAGGGACGCCAACACGGCCGAUUGACAGCACAAACAACCAAAAUCAUGAACUGAAUCAAAAGAAAUGCUGUUGUUUUCCAUGGCCAAGAAAAUGAUAUUGUUCUACAUCUUCAUAAGCUCAGUUUUACGUGGACGUGUGAAUAUAUAUAUUAUUUGAAGGAGAGGAUCCGUUUGGCUGCAGCAAAUAACCUUCUGUGCCAUCUAAUGUAAGUGUUCGUUUGUAGACAAAUAAAGUUGUGGGAAAAAGACAGAAACUGGGGUGUUUUGGGUUAUAUUAUUUUUUAUUAUUACUUGAAAUUUUUGCUUCUGCUUGUGUUGUAUUCUUCACUCUAAUAAUUGUAUUGUGAGGUUGACCUAUUUGAUUACUA